CGCUGAAUAGCUCAGUUGCUAGAGUGUGAGGCUCUUAAUCUCAGCGUUGUGGGUUUGAGUCCCACGUUGGACGA
rnacentral:tRNA from 1 species